rnacentral:rRNA from 1 species
AACGAACGCUGGCGGCAGGCUUAACACAUGCAAGUCGAGCGCCCCGCAAGGGGAGCGGCAGACGGGUGAGUAACGCGUGGGAAUCUACCCAUCUCUACGGAAUAACGCAUGGAAACGUGUGCUAAUACCGUAUACGUCCUUCGGGAGAAAGAUUUAUCGGAGAUGGAUGAGCCCGCGUUGGAUUAGCUAGUUGGUGGGGUAAAGGCCUACCAAGGCGACGAUCCAUAGCUGGUCUGAGAGGAUGCUCAGCCACACUGGGACUGAGACACGGCCCAGACGCCUACGGGAGGGAGCAGUGGGGAAUAUUGGACAAUGGGCGCAAGCCGGAUCCAGCCAUGCCGCGUGAGGGAUGAAGGCCCUAGGGUUGUAAAGCUCUUUCACCGGUGAAGAUAAUGACGGUAACCGGAGAAGAAGCCCCGGCUAACUUCGUGCCAGCCGCCGCCGCGGUAA